GGUCUGGUGGUGUAGUUGGUUAUCACGUCAGUCUAACAUCGUGAACGCUCCGUGCGAUUCACCUGGUUCACUGAAGGUCUCCGGUUCAAGUCCGGGCUAGAUCA
rfam:Colletotrichum orchidophilum strain IMI 309357 Scaffold_32.1, whole genome shotgun sequence.